rnacentral:rRNA from 1 species
GACGUAGGGCGCAAGCGUUGUCCGGAAUUAUUGGGCGUAAAGAGCUCGUAGGCGGUGUGUCACGUCGGCCGUGAAAACCUGGGGCUUAACUCUGGGCUUGCGGUCGAUACGGGCAGGCUAGAGUUCGGUAGGGGAGACUGGAAUUCCUGGUGUAGCGGUGAAAUGCGCAGAUAUCAGGAGGAACACCGGUGGCGAAGGCGGGUCUCUGGGCAUUAACUGACGCUGAGGAGCGAAAGCAUGGGGAGCGAACAGG